rnacentral:rRNA from 1 species
UUCUGACCGUAAACGAUGCCAACUAGCGAUCCGCCGGUGGAUUUUAGCCCUGGUGGGUAGCUUCCCGGAAACGAAAGUCUUCCGGUUCCGGGGGAAGUAUGGUUGCAAAGCUGAAACUUAAAGGAAUUGACGGAAGGGCACCACCAGGAGUGGAGCCUGCGGCUUAAUUUGACUCAACACGGGGAAACUCACCCGGCCCGGACACCGUAAGGAUUGACAGAUUGAUAGCUCUUUCAUGAUUCGGUGGUUGGUGGUGCAUGGCCGUUCUUAGUUCGUGGAUCGAUUUGUCUGGUUUAUUCCGAUAACGAGCGAGACUCUAGCCUACUAAAUAGUAACGAGAUUAUCAAUGUCUCAGUUGCUUCUUAGAGGGAUUUUCGGUGUUUAGCCGCACGAGAUUGAGCAAUAACAGGUCUGUGAUGCCCUUAGAUGUCCGGGGCUGCACGCGCGCUACACUGGCGAAAUCAGCGUGCUGUAUCCAUUCUCGAAAGGGAUUGGUAAACCCAUGAAAAUUUGCCGUGCUUGGGAUCGGAAAUUGCAAUUAUUUUCCGUGAACGAGGAAUUCCAAGUAAGUGCGAGUCAUCAACUCGCUCUG